rnacentral:misc_RNA from 1 species
UUUUUCUCAGCUCUGAAACUAAAUGCCAAGGCUGUAAUCUAAUCCCAAUUACAAGCUCAGUUUAAGAUGGGAACUAUAACCACCAUUUUGGCUUUAAAAUUGCAAGUGCAUGGAAGAGCUCAUUAUGCCUAAAUUCUAGAAGUAAAGGUCCUCAUCACCUCAUAUAAUGGGGAACAGAGACAAGCAAUUUUUGUUUUGGUUUUUGUCAAACAACUCGUUACAUAAAUUUCAUUUACUUUUAUCAUUACAAACAAAUAAAUUGUAACAAAAUGCACAGGUUGGUCAAAUAAUUAUUAACAAAUAACAAUCACACAAAGGCCAACAUAGAUUAGAGCAUCAAUUUCCAAUCUCAUAGUCCCUAUAUAUCAACUGUGUUUCAAUUUCUUUCCCAUAAAUGACGUUCCCUCCACAUUUAAUUAUCUUGUCCUAAAACUCAUAUUAGUAUCACUAUUACACCAAUAUUAAGAGAACUAGCCAAGAUCAAGAUACCCAUAAGAGGAAAACUACACAAACCAAGAAAGCAAGCCAACUC